UACGUAGGGACCAAGCGUUGUUCGGAUUUAUUGGGCGUAAAGGGCGCGUAGGCGGCGUGUCAAGUCAAUUGUGAAAUCUCCGGGCUUAACUCGGAACGGUCAAUUGAUACUGAUGUGCUAGAGUGCAGAAGGGGCAAUCGGAAUUCUUGGUGUAGCGGUGAAAUGCGUAGAUAUCAAGAGGAACACCUGAGGUGAAGACGGGUUGCUGGGCUGACACUGACGCUGAGGCGCGAAAGCUAGGGUAGCAAACAGG
rnacentral:rRNA from 1 species